UGAUUUAUUUUUGGAGAGGCAC
rnacentral:miRNA from 1 species